UUGGUCAGGUCGGUUCAUUUUCACCGGUAACAAAUGAGUUGAGUUUCUCCGUGCCCGAACCAGACCGACGAAUUCCAUCCAUGUCUUGCGCCGCCGCCGUCUCUCUCCUCUGCCUCGCCGUACCUUCCACACGGAUUUGCGUGAUCUCCCAGUGUGGUACUCAGCCUCUGGGUGGCUCCCCGCGGCAGGGAGGCACGGAACCUCACGCCGCCCAUGUUCCUCUCUCGAUCUCUACCAUCAUGCCACCAGCCCCCUCCCCUCCUCCACCCAACGGCUGCUUUGACCUCUCUUCUCCUCCUCAUGGAUGCCUCGCCUGCGUUGCCUCACCUCUCGCGGCGCCUCCUUGGCUCAUCUGCUAGGCAAACUCCAUAACCCUCUCGGCCCCUCCUUCUCCUGUCCCCUUGGCGCGCACCAAACCCCCACAUGCUUCCCCUAGCGGACCACAUCAGAUUCACCCGGACUUUGAUCGGUGUUUUUCUUUUCUUUUCUUUUCACGCCUUCCUUGAUCUUUGCUACUCGGUGUCGAGCAUCGACGGUCAGCACAACAGAAAGGUCAUACCGGUUUUGAGCUCUCUCAUGUGAAAUGAUUUAUUUGGAUCAAGAUGGUUUUAGACUUUUAGGAGGAAUUCAUAUGUAGGUUUAUGUUCCCUUGUGGAUGAAAAGGUACAUUUAUAUACUAUAUGAUUUUAGUGAGCUUGAUGCUUUGUUUGGGAGUUGAUUGGUUCAAUCUUUUCCUUUCAUGCAUGUGAUUCCUAUAUUAUAGGCUCGGGUGCUCUGUUUUUUAGAUGCUCAGAUGAAGAGGUUUCCUCUCCUGGUAUUGUCUGGAUAGAGAAAGAGAUCUCUGUUUGCAUUAGUAUUGGUGGUGUCCCUGUCCCAGUUCUAUUAUCAGGAGUCAUUGAGCAGGAUGAUUCACAAGAACUUAUGCUUUGAGUUGUCUUUAACAAGAUACCAAGGAGAGAAAAGGCUGAAGCUAUAUGUUCGUGUUUGAGUUAUUUGCAAUAUAUGUACACAAAAUUUUCCGUCAGGAACAGACAUUUUCUUAAUGAGAUCACUGAGUUACCCCUUUAUCAUGUUUUGCAUUAUCUACAGACAGAAUAUUCUUACAUGGGGUCUGGCAUCAUCUACUAGCCUUAGUUUAGUACCAUUGAACAACUUUCCAUUCAUUUCUAAUUUAUCUUUGCUACGAAGUUGCAGGGUGAUGGAAUACACUGUCUUGUGCCCAAAGGCUUGCUUUCCAAAUUUCAGCAGCUGAUGUCUGAAGGUCGUGUAUGUUAUCUACAGUUCUUUCAUAUUAGCCCCGCCAAAAGGCAGGCUUGAGAAGUUGAGAUAUUUCAGGUCAAGAUUCAACUGGUCGAUUUGGGUGCAGAACUUUUGAGGUUGAUCAUUCUGUUGAAUGCAUUGCUGAAUGAGGACGUCGAUUUAAGACAGACAAGGAAUCUACUAUGCACCGAACAGCUCUGACUCGGCACAACAGAUACCGCCUCCAACAAGCAAGAACGAAGCCAACGGAAGGAAACACCACCAAACUCAACAUAAUUAAGACACAACGCAAUGGAACAUAAUUAAGACACAACGCAAUGGAAUUGAAACCACGGUGACGCAAAUGACCAUAAUAAUCCACGAAGAAAGAAAAGGGAAGUUGAACCCAGAAUCAAAAAACGGCGCGGCAAAGCGCGCGUCACCUUCUAGUCCACGUACAUGAUAGGUAACAAGGCAAGUCAGUUUGUAAAGGAAAGUGAUCAAAAGAGACAGGAAAAUAAAGAUUGUUAUUUUUUUAGUCGGUCACGACCACCAGAAGUUGCCGAUGGUUUGCCUAACGAGCAUCGCUCGUGGAGAUUAUUCUCCCUGAAGGACACGGGCUGGGGCCCACCAACAUGCAUGGCAAUUAGAGAUAACGUGCAUGACACAAAUAUUAGAUACAUCAGCUUAGAUUUUUCUGGUUCUAGUUGGUUGGGUACUUUUCUUUCGGGUCAAGUUAGAGGUGCGGCUACUACUAUAAAGCCAAGCCUGCGUGCUUUGUAAUUUUUAGGUUAUAUUUUCUACAGGUUAGACAACAUGUGUAUCAAAUAUUAAGUAGCCCUCUUUGGGUGUCGUUGUUAAUUAUUUUGUGUGAUUUUUCUGCAUGAAAGUUGCACUUGGCUCGAGGUCUGUCGUUCUCGACGGGUUGCGUGCUGGUUACGUCUACUUCAGCGGGAGGUUGCUCGUGUGUCGAGGGAUUGUCUGUU